CAAAUAUAUAAAAUGAGUAUCAAAACAUUUGAUCGUUGAUCUUUAUACCUAUUAAGAAAAUACCAAAUUAUCAUCGAAAAAGAAAAGGAAUUCUUCAGGGUGCCCAGCAGAUCAGGCUUAUCUUUGACUUCGAGAUAUUAACCAUUUAUCAGACGUAUGAGGAGGAUAGUAGCAGCAUGGCUACUCAAGGAAGAAGAAAGAAAGAAGAAAGAAAUAAGAAAAAAGAAAAAUAAGAAACGGUGGAGCCAGUUGAGCAUUGUUUCCGUGGGAGGAUCCCAUGCAUAAGUUAGAAAGCGUUGGGCACAGGUGUAAAAUGAGAGAAUGUGUGUGCUCUCAC
rnacentral:lncRNA from 1 species